rnacentral:rRNA from 1 species
GUGGCAAGCGUUGUCCGGAAUUAUUGGGCGUAAAGGGCUCGCAGGCGGUUUCUUAAGUCUGAUGUGAAAGCCCCCCGGCUCAACCGGGGAGGGUCAUCGGAAACUGGGGAACUUGAGUGCAGAAGAGGAGAGUGGAAUUCCACGUGUAGCGGUGAAAUGCGUAGAGAUGUGGAGGAACACCAGUGGCGAGGGCGACUCUCUGGUCUGUAACUGACGCUGAGGAGCGAAAGCGUGGGGAGCGAACAGGAUUAGAUACCCUGGUAGUCCACGCCGUAAACGAUGAGUGCUAAGUGUUAGGGGGGUUUCCGCCCCUUAGUGCUGCAGCUAACGCAUUAAGCACUCCGCCUGGGGGAGUACGGUCGCAAGACUGAAACUCAAAGGAAUUGACGGGGGCCCGCACAAGCGGUGGAGCAUGUGGUUUAAUUCGAAGCAACGCGAAGAACCUUACCAGGUCUUGACAUCCUCUGACAAUCCUAGAGAUAGGACGUCCCCUUCGGGGGCAGAGUGACAGGUGGU